UGAGCCUCAUUCCCCAUCUCCCAAGCCGCCCCACGGCAACAACGUGCAAAGGACUGGAGGAAUCGCAAAUGAAGAUUUUAAACAGUGUUGCUUGUGCUUCCGAAUUCUUUCACGGUAUUACGGGAAAAUUAACUCAGUUUAAGCAUUACAAUCUCAGAGAUAACUACAAUAACUGUGUUCCAGCUGCACAGACCCGACAGGAAUCGGAGGUUCGACGUUUUCUGAGCCUCGACACGCCAUUACCCUCUAAAGAGCACCACUGCUUGUGACUCGAGUGUGCAGUCCGGACAAUUUACAAGGCGUCACCACAAACCUAUUAAGCAACUGGGUAAUUUGUCAUCUAUAAAUUCCUCAAGGAAGAGACAAUGAAUCAGGUGAAGAAAACUUUACAUUUACAGAUACUAUUAUAUGGGAUUCAUAUUUUACGUUCUCAAUAUAAUGUGUUUUACAUUUAAGAUUGAACGUUGUUAUCUAAGUUUGGCUAUCGUGAUAGUACUAAAAUUGCUAGUUAUACCAGUUCCAAUUGUUUUUUUAAAGGGAAUUACCACGUAUUUCAAGUAAUAAUAUUGGCAUUGGGCAAAACAUUGCAAUAUAAGCCGCUAAUUGACCUCAGCUGUUGACGCGGCAGAUAAUUUAAAAUAAUGAAUCAAUCACUGCAGUAUUUCCAAACUUUUUUUAACACAGUUUUAAUGGCCGACAUUAGUUGUCAUUGAAAAUAUUUGCGAAAUAUCACGAACCAGUCACAAGCUUAGUCCCAUACAAGAGUAUUCAAUUCACAUAAUACUGGAUGCUAUGCAUGUAU